GUGGGGAAUUUUGCACAAUGGGCGCAAGCCUGAUGCAGCGACGCCGCGUGAGGGAUGGAGGCCUUCGGGUUGUGAACCUCUUUCGCUCAUGGUCAAGCCGCAGUUUUGAUUGUGGUGAGGGUAGUGGGUAAAGAAGCGCCGGCUAACUACGUGCCAGCAGCCGCGGUAAUACGUAGGGCGCGAGCGUUGUCCGGAAUUAUUGGGCGUAAAGGGCUUGUAGGCGGCUCGUCGCGUCUGCCGUGAAAUCCUCUGGCUUAACUGGGGGCGUGCGGUGGGUACGGGCUGGCUUGAGUGCGGUAGGGGAGACUGGAAUUCCUGGUGUAGCGGUGGAAUGCGCAGAUAUCAGGAGGAACACCGGUGGCGAAGGCGGGUCUCUGGGCCGUUACUGACGCUGAGGAGCGAAAGCAUGGGGAGCGAACAGGAUUAGAAACCCCGGUAGUCC
rnacentral:rRNA from 1 species